rnacentral:rRNA from 1 species
UUCUUCCUACGGGGCGCAGCAGUGAGGAAUAUUGGUCAAUGGUCGGGAGCCUGAACCAGCCAAGUCGCGUGAGGGAAGACGGUCCUAUGGAUUGUAAACCUCUUUUGCCGGGGAGCAAAAAGCGGUACGUGUACCGCAUCGAGAGUACCCGGAGAAAAAGCAUCGGCUAACUCCGUGCCAGCAGCCGCGGUAAUACGGAGGAUGCGAGCGUUAUCCGGAUUUAUUGGGUUUAAAGGGUGCGCAGGCGGUCUGUUAAGUCAGCGGUCAAAGCCCGGGGCUCAACCCCGGCCCGCCGUUGAAACUGG